UCGUCUGGAUUUCCCUAGCGCUGAGUGUUGCGUCACCAGCCUGAGCGCGAGGCCCUGUGGGAAAUGUAGUCCCGGCCAAGAGCUCAGCCCCGGAGACACCUUCAAAUGUGGAGGGAGGAGCAAAGAGAAAGAGAAUGGAAAAAAGGGGAAAGAGGGAAGAGGAGAGGAAGAGGGAGGAGGGGGAAGGGGAAGAAGAAAGAGGUCGGAGGAAGAGGAUCACAGCUUUGUCAGAUGGGGAAACUGAGGAAGACAAGUGAAGUGACUUGCCCAAGAUCACACAGCUAAAAAGAAAGAGUCCCGCUUCUUAGGAACUCGCUGCUCCCGGAAUCAGGAAGUCCUAAGUGCAAAAACUAUCUCAGAUAAUGAUUAGCUAGCUGUGUCACCCAGGGGAAGUCACAACCUCUGUUUGUAAAAUGGGAGUAAUAUCUCGCAGGGGUGUUAUGGAUACUAAAUGAAAUUGUAAAGCACUUUGCAAACUUAAAUUGCCACAUAAAUGCUAGCUAUUUUUAUUAAUAUUAUUUUAACAGACGGGCAACAUCCCUAGAAGGUUUCAUCUGCAGGAAAGAUCGGAAUAACAAAAAUAUACAAAAGCCGGCCUGGGCAAGGCAUAUAACCAUUUUUGUCCGUGGUAUUCCCUCCAAUCAAGAUUUGGGGUGCCUCGGUCCGCAGUGGAGGGGACUCAGCCUGCGAAAACCUAGCGGAAGAUAGAUAGACUAGCGGGCUAGUCUGCUAGCACGAGAUGGCUAGAGGAAGCCGGGUUUCGCAAAACAGUUUAACUGUGCGUUUCUUAAAAUGCCAGAGCGAGGCGGGCCAGCCCCAUUUCUCCGGGCUGCAGGGAUCCGCCCACCUGAGGAGCUUUCCCUUCCCCCAUGAUGAGGUCAUGGGGAGGAGCUGAGAACCCUAAGCCCACCUCCUCAUGAAGAAAUUCACCAAAGAGGGACUGUCCGGGCGGGCCGAAUGAUGCGCUCUCGAGCCAAUCAGAAGGAAGACACACCUAGUAAUAUUCUGAGAAGAGAUCCAAUGUCAUCAGAGUCCAGUGGCAAAACAAAAGUCAGGAGAGACCAGGGGGAUAUCCAAGAAAUAUUAAUGACCCCUGCCUCCCAAGGAUGCAGGCUAACUGAGGAGACAAGUUAUACACAGGAGAUAAGACAGAUGAGAUGCCUCCUCCAGAACUCUCCAGAUCAGUUCCCCUUACCUCCCAAAUGAUAUUUAUUCGGCAUUUGUUUUGUAUUUAUUUACCUCCAUAGACAUAUUCUCAGAAGGACAGAAAUUCCUUAUAAAAGCAUGAUUUAUUCUCCCCCCCCCCCCAUGCCUAGCUUGGUACCUGGCACAAAAUAAGCAUUCAGUUGUUGAACUGAAUUUAAUCUGAUCUGACUAGGGGCUUCCUGACUUCAGGUAUGUCUCCUUCAAUCCAGGGGAAUUCCCUAAGCAAGGAUUAUUAACCUGGAAUCUGUGAACUUAAGCAUUUAAAACACAAAAAAAGUUAGAAAAUGGCAUCUCAUUAAAAUUGGUUUCAUU
rnacentral:lncRNA from 1 species